rnacentral:rRNA from 1 species
UGGGGAAUAUUGCACAAUGGGCGCAAGCCUGAUGCAGCCAUGCCGCGUGUGUGAAGAAGGCCUUCGGGUUGUAAAGCACUUUCAGCGGGGCGGAAGGCGAUAAGGUUAAUAACCUUGUCGAUUGACGUUACCCGCAGAAGAAGCACCGGCUAACUCCGUGCCAGCAGCCGCGGUAAUACGGAGGGUGCAAGCGUUAAUCGGAAUUACUGGGCGUAAAGCGCACGCAGGCGGUCUGUCAAGUCGGAUGUGAAAUCCCCGGGCUCAACCUGGGAACUGCAUUCGAAACUGGCAGGCUAGAGUCUUGUAGAGAGGGGUAGAAUUCCAGGUGUAGCGGUGAAAUGCGUAGAGAUCUGGAGGAAUACCGGUGGCGAAGGCGGCCCCCUGGACAAAGACUGACGCUCAGGUGCGAAAGCGUGGGGAGCUAACAGG